rnacentral:rRNA from 1 species
UGCCAGCAGCCGCGGUAAUACGGAGGGUGCAAGCGUUAAUCGGAAUUACUGGGCGUAAAGCGCUCGUAGGCGGCUUGUUAAGUCGGAUGUGAAAGCCCUGGGCUCAACCUGGGAACUGCAUUCGAUACUGGCAAGCUAGAGUAUAGUAGAGGCAAGUGGAAUUCCGGGUGUAGCGGUGAAAUGCGUAGAUAUCCGGAGGAACAUCAGUGGCGAAGGCGACUUGCUGGACUAAUACUGACGCUGAGGAGAGAAAGCGUUGGGAGCAAACGGGAUUAGAUA